AUACGUAGGUGACAAGCGUUAUCCGGAUUUACUGGGCGUAAAGGGCGUGUAGGCGGUCUUGCAAGUCAGAAGUGAAAUUCCUGAGCUCAACUCGGGCGCUGCUUCUGAAACUGCAGGACUUGAGUGCUGGAGGGGAUAGCGGAAUUCCUAGUGGAGCGGUAAAAUGCGCAGAUAUUAGGAAGAACACCGGUGGCGAAGGCGGCUAUCUGGACAGUAACUGACGGUGGGGAGCGAAAGCGUGGGGGGCAAACAAGAUUAGAUGCCCUGGUUGUCCACGCCGUAAACGAUGAAUACUAGGUGGAGGGGGGAGCGGCUCCCUCUGUGCCGCAGUUAACACAAUAAGUAUUCCGCCUGGGGAGUACGGCCGCAAGGUUGAAACUCAAAUGAAUUGACGGGG
rnacentral:rRNA from 1 species